UUUAUGAAUAAUUUUAGUCACUGAUAUGCUUCACAGAAUAUUAGGGCAGAACUUCUUGAGUAAUUUAAAGUCAGGGUACAAGACAAGACCAGAAACCAAACCCAUUUAGUAUUUUUAGGAUCUGUUAUUAUUAGAUCAUUAUGUUGAAACAAAAUUACUGGGGACUUAAUACUAUUUUAAAAUUAUUUCAGAAGGAUGUAGUCACUGUCUUAUUAUAUUUCUUCAAUAUUUAUUCUUCUCUGCUUAGUUUCAUAUUAGAAGUGAACAUUAAUAUGUGGAUAGUUUGAAGCAGGUUUGUGCACACUUACUUUUUUUUACCCAUAUGUAACUCUCAUUUUCUUUUUUUUUCUGGUAAAGGCUGCAGAUUUUCUAAUAUGCUAAAUUAUCUAAAAAUCUUUGCAUGACUUUGGUGACUGAGAAUUUUUUUUGACUGUGAGGCAUUUGGUCUGAUUUAUAUUUGAAGGCAGGAAAUAAGAAGAAGCAUUUUGAAGAUGGAAUGACAUAUGAUGAAUUAGAGAUGUGGAAGCAAGGAAGUCUUAAGUCUCACUGCACAACCACAGCGAAAGAAACCACAAGACAAUUCCUACAAACUUCCCCAGGAUAGAACAAGCUUUAGAAGAACCAGAUCAGCAUUUGAAAACAAUAGAAUCACAGGUCUCAAAAUGCAGAGAUAAUAGGUUUGGACAGAUGUGACUGUAAUGUUGUCAGCUGCUGCUAUUCCAUAUCAAGCCUCUAAUAUUUGCUGUUUAUCCUUCAAGCCAAAGCCUGUGAAGACCAGUGAUUAGAAGCAAAUAUUAGCUGGUUUUUUUUGGUUUGUAACGGAGAUUCUGAGAAAAUCUUGAAGUCAUGACAAAAAGGUACACUAACAGUUAAAAAUACACACAACAAAAAUAGCCAGCAACUGUUUAUUUUAAAUCUCAGAUUUUUUAUGACCAACUGUUUCAAGACCAGAGCUAUGGUUUACUUGUGAUACACGGUUUGCAUGUGAUAACUAAAUGAUGUAACUGAGGGCAGAAAUUGGUCAAUGGAUUCUUGUAAAUUAUGAUGGUAAAAGGAAGGAAUUAAGUAGCUUGAAAUUCAGAUUGUAUUUCCAGAGAUCCAACAGGGAUUUUGUCAGUUCUUUUAAAUCUGGAGCUUUUUUCCCCGACAGAUAUUUUCCCAUAAAAGUAUUUUGUAAUUGGAAGGGAAAAAACUAAACAAACAAAAACCCUCACCGAAUAGUCAGAAGGCAUUGUGAUACAAAAACUACUAAAGCCCUGAGUUACUCUGACUUUUUUCAGGAUGUAACAAUUUUUAGUAUGAGAACUGUAAGGAAAAUCAUAAAACAAGCUGUAUGCUAAGAUUUGCAAAACUGCAGUGCAAAGAAAUCAAGAUGGGCAAAUUUUUUUCAGUUUUAUGUAAAUCAGAGUCUUUCUGACUUCUGCUUCUGAUAUUUAGAAGUCUCUUAUUUUUCCUUGUCUCUCACACCUUUGCUGGAAGUGCUUCCUGUUGCAGGAGCUGAUUCACAUAUGUUUUCUUAGGUCCAGGUGACUAGCAGCUGUUUCAAUCUUUGUCCUAGUUAAACUGACCAAUACUUGGUGACAGCUAGGUACCAGAAAAGAGCAUUUUCUUGUCCUUUGUUGAUUAUUACAGCCUAUACAUCAGGCAAGAUUGCUUUUGAUUGCAAUGAGAUGAUAGAAGGAAGAAAGCAAUUUCCAGCUGUGAGUUUUAAUUUCUGUUGUUUGGCAGAU